UGUCGCACAGAUGCCUCUGCACGCUGCAGACGGUGCCUCUCCUCUCCUAUGGACCCUCGUCGGGGGCAGGCAGCGGCCGGGUCCAAACUUGCUGCUGUCCUCGAGGCUGGCACUGCUAUCUCCAGGGCUGGGUUGACUCAAGCCAGACAGGGGGAAGGAAUUGGUUCUGCAGGACAGUGAGAGGGUCUGUGUCCCGGCACCCCUGGGACAGCGCUCGGCUGCCUGUGCUCACUGCAUGAGAAAACUCAGAGGGUGCAUUCUCCCUCUGGCAUGGCUGUGUCUGGGCGCCUUGGGCUGCGGCAGGGGGCAGGCCCCACGUGGGGAAGCCUCGUGCUUGGUCAGCUUUCUGUCUCUCCCAGGCCAGUGACAACUGGCUUCCCGAGGAAGGAGGUGAGGUACCAGGGACCCUGGGCAGGACCUGGUGUCGGGCAGGGCGGUGCCAGCACUGGGGAAGGACAGGGAGCCCUCCCGGAGCCCCACCCUGCACCUGCCACUGGGGUCAGGGAGUGUCUCGGGGUGCCUUUGGGGGCAGCAUGAGCUCCACCAGGGGCCCCGGCCCCCACCUCAGCCUAUGGCCCUUCCCCAUGGCUAAGGUCAUGCCUUUUCUGAACAGCUUUGGCCUUGAGUGCACACAUCUGUGCCAGGCUCACGGCAUGUUCCCGUUGGAUGUCAGGGUCCUUGUCCAAACCAAACUCACAGCUGCCCCUGUGCAGCCUUCAGAGUUGAGCUGGGGUCUCAGUCUCCAACCUGUCCUUUCUGACCCUCCCAUGGCUGCCCAGGGAGGGCGGGGUUCACUGUGCCACGUGCUGGGUGCCCCCCUCUGCAGACAGCCAGUCCAGGAGAUGGACCAACAGAGGUCAAGGGGCAGCUGGCCAGGCCGCACCGGGGUCCCCGAGUUCUGAGCUGUGCUAUGCAAACAAGAAUGCUCCUGUGUGGGGGGGCAUGGCCGUUGGAGGUAUAGCUGGGCGGGUAGUGGAAGGACUGGAAAUCUCUGUUGUUGUUUGGGGAAGUCCAUGCUUCAGUCCUUCGGAGUAUGCGUGGAUUGUUCGAAGUGUGACUAUGGCCCGGGAGCCAGGGCAGCAUGAACUCCUUUCUCUGAAAUUUCGAGGCCUCCUUGGGUUCCCUGAACUCCGGGCUGAUGUUCCCAGGACCCAGCACCAGGAGACCCCAGUCCCGCCAGCAGCCGCCGCUACCCAGGAGGGCUGGGCGACAUUGGCCGCCUCCCACUAGCUCCCCCUCCUCGCCCACAGCCUCUUGUCACUGCCAAGCCCCCGUUCCUUUUGCCCAAAUCACGCAGGCGGAAGCUGCAGUGCCAGCUGGAGGGAUGUUCAUAGGGCUUCCUGUGCCCAUCCCUGCUCCAAACAGCUGGACAGCUUCCCCUCUACCCCCACCCUGGUGAGCCCCUGGGGGCCAGAGAAAGAUGGGGUUCCUGCACCUUCCCAGCUCCACCUCUGAACUUGAGUUAGCGUUAGCUAAGCAUACAAUCAGUGUCGAACGUCUCUCUUCCUUAAGCUUGUAGAUACGACUGCCUAUAAUCAGGGGACUCCCACUGGAGGCCGGGAGGCCAAUGCUGGCCAGGUGCGAGGGCAUGGUUUGGUUCCUUUAGGGAAUUUUUGUUUUGCAAACAGGAGAAACCUGUGCUGCAGGUUGGAGUGGCAGGAACGACUGGCCUUGGUCAGCAGGCAGCCCCCAGCCUAGGGCCACAGUCCUCUUCAGGGCCUGGGCAGCCCCAAUUUCUGGCCCAGCAGGUUUCUCUUUGUAGUGUCUUUCAGCACAUCCAAAAUGCUAGGCCUCCUGCCACCAACGUGUCAGAGCAAUGUCCAACUGUCAGGCUCUCAGAGAUGCCUCAGUUUCCCUAGCAUGAGCACCAGCCGACACACACAGUCCACUGAGAUGAUAAUUCUGUUCUCUCCAAAGCAAAAAGCUGGGCGAGGGGUAGUCUCAAUUUCUGUCAGUGCUCAAAGGAAUAACACCAAAAGAAUCAACACAGAAUCUCCCAGACACACGUGACCCAGCUCGUGGCGCCGUGGGUCCGUAGGAGGGACAGUACCUCACAACAGGCCCAGCGGGGGACCACCUCUCUGUACAAUUGGAAUGCGUUUUACUUUUCUUUUCUCUCCUUUUUUCAUUCCGAUUUUUUUUGCAUGUUUCUUUUUGAAAUGGGCAAAAUGUGUAGCAGCCUGCAUGAGCACAGUUGUUUUGGGGAAAGAUACUGGAGUAUGAUGUACUCACACCUGCAAAUCUGAGCAUCGCGAGGUUAAACGUUCCACCUUUUUUUGUAAUCGUCAACAGCACAACUAUUUUGUAUUGUUGUUUGUAUCAUUUUGUACCAAAAAAAAAAAGGAAAAAAAAAGGGAAGAGAGUUGAUGUUUUCAGUGUGUUUCCAGUGCCAGACAGUCUUGGUCCUGAACUCAGUAGACCCUUGCGGAGCGGUUGUGCGCGGGCAGGCGGGGCGCGCUGCUCCAGAGAAUGAAUAAAGUCCCCCUUUUCCGU
rnacentral:lncRNA from 1 species